GACGAACCGUGCGAACGUUGUUCGGAUUCACUGGGCUUAAAGGGCGCGUAGGCGGGUUAUCAAGUCGGGGGUGAAAUCUUUCAGCUCAACUGGAAAAGUGCCUUCGAUACUGAUGAUCUUGAGGAAGGUAGGGGCAUGUGGAACUUCCGGUGGAGCGGUGAAAUGCGUAGAUAUCGGAAGGAACGCCGGUGGCGAAAGCGACGUGCUGGACCUCUUCUGACGCUGAGGCGCGAAAGCCAGGGGAGCGAACGGG
rnacentral:rRNA from 1 species